UUUUUAUUUUUUUCUUAUUCUUUUUUUUUUUCUUUUUUACAAGCCCUUGUGUUGAGGGCUGACUUUCAAAAGGUUGCCGUGGAGAUGGAAAGUAUUUAGUAAAUCUCUCAUAUGCAAGCACUGAAUCUUUCAAAUACAAUUUGUCAUAUUCAGAUGAACAAAUUAGCUACAGUGGAUUACUGAUUGGGGAAUGGAAUUAGCCUCAUUUUAAAAGAUUUUGACUCAAACUAGAAUUCUAUCUUUUUUGUAUCAAUAAAAAUGAGUUUCUUAAGGAUAUGAACUGGGUGAUAGUGCAUCAUUUUAUUCCAAGGACUAGCACAUGCCUUUUAUAUAGAAGUUUAAUAAACAUGGAACGAUUUAAAUCUUAGUAAUUUAAGAAUUUUCCACAAAACCAAUAUAGGUGGAUGUUAACAGAGACAUAUAAAAAACCUCUAAUUUUAUUUAUGUUUUCUUUUUAGGGAUGCACUUGCAGCAUAUGGAAGUUCCAGGCUAGGGGGUCAAAUCGGACCUGCAGCUGAGGUCUACACCACAGCCACAGCAACGCCAGAUCCAAGCUGCAUUUUUGACCUAUGCUGCACAGUGCAGCAAGGCCUCAGAUCAUUAACCAACCCACUGAGCGAGGCCAGGGACUGAACCCAAGUCUUCAAAGAUACUAGUCGUGUUCUUAACCCACUGAGCUACAAUGGGAACUCCAUAUUCUUAAUUGACUAUAUACAAUGCAAAAGCAGCUCUGGUAGAAACUUCAAAGCAUUUAAAAAGUUUUAUAUAGUAAGGGAUAAAAUUAAAACUUAACUACAAAUAAUUUCUUGAGAGGAUUUGAGCACAAACAAAAAUUGGCACUUUGUACACUUCAAUGCAAGUUCUAGCUUAACUGCUGAGUAGAGGAAAAGCUUCAUGUUGGUUGGAACAACUCCACCUUCUCCAAAAUUACUGAGAACCACACCAAAUGAGAGCAUGACUUCCGAAGCUCAAAAUAAAACUAUUUUUAUUAAUACAUAACAAUUUGUUUAAAAAUACCUAAUUAAUUCUUUCUUCAAAACAGACAUCUCACUUACCUUUUCAGUAUAUUUCCUAAAAACAUUAAAGACAGAUGUAAGGCUUAGUUGGUAUUUUCCACGAACUCAGUUCUUUUCCUCUGGAGUGGAGCUGACGUGACAAAGCAGGUUUGGGAAUGCUAGAAAUGAAUUCCUAUUUCCCUUGCAUUCUUCAGAUUCAUUUUCCCCCAAAUUUCUGCACUGGGUGGCUUCCAUUUCAGCAUCAGUCACGAAAUCUUGAAGGUUAGACACAGUAAACAGGGAAGGACAUAAAAUUAAGUGAUACGGGCUUAGCUUUGGGUCUCACAACUUUAAUAGGGAUGAAUCAUACCUUAAAGUAUGUGAAAAUGAAUCACAUAUUCUAUUCUUUAUGAAACUCAGCCCUUAGUCAAGCUAAAGGAAUUAGUGUGGUGUAGCCUAAAAUUUUGUUUGCUCCUUUAAUAAAUGUUGAGUAAAAAAGAUACAAUUCCCAGGAAGACCAAAACAUAAGUUCAUCAAUUUAGUAUGAGUCUACAACAUUGAUUUAUUUUUCACUAUAAAUGUGUAAAGGAAAAACGAUUUUAAUAAAGGGAAUGAAAAAUAAUGGCAAGUUAUUCUGAUUUUCUAAUUCUUUUUUUUUUUUUUUUUGGUUGCACCCAUUGUAUGAAGAAGUUCCUGGGCCAGGGAUAGAACCCAUGACACAGCAGAGACCCAAACCGCUGAGUGACAACAUGGGAUCUUUAACCUGCUGACAAAAGAACUCCUGAUUUUCCAAUUUACCAGUCAAAUUUGAAAUGAUUAUUUUACUUACGUAUCACUUAAGUCAGAAAAAAAGAAAGUGAGCCUUAUCUGAUUAUCAUUAGUAUAGGCUUUAAAUGAAGACAUUCCAUUCAAUUGUUUUCUUAGUUAUAGGAAACAAGCAUUGAAAUUAAUUUAGUAGGAGAGGAAAAAUACUGAAUAAUUCACAUGGAAUUAACAACCAAGAAAUGUCUUUAUGAUUUGCAAAAUCAUGAACUGAAAAUCAAAACUUCCUACACUUCAAGUAGUUAUCAAACAAAACUAUUUUUCUUUGCUUCCAAUAAAUCAUUAAAUAGGUUUGCUGUACUCACACUGACACCUUAAUUCCCUAUGACAGCCAAAAGUGACAGAAUUAGGUCACUACUUCGGGAAUGGAAAUGAGAGUAGGUGGAUUAAGGGGAACUCAGGCUGACAAAACUUGCUUUUUAGGGGAUGGGAGAGAAAGCCAUCAGUAUGCCGUAAGAGUUUGAGCAUUCUGACCAUAUAUCAGGCAGUUAUCCUUGUUGAAUGGCUGUGGAAUCCAAGUGACACCUUCUUCCUCAAUGUACUCAUUCCAUCAUUGGCUGAGCAGUCCAUACUGGAGACCAUUUAAAAAUGUGCAGUUUGUAAUAACCAUUAUCUAUCUUAGCAGCUAGAAAGGCAAAAUGAAAGUUAGCAUAUAAAACUAUCUUUAGGGACUAGGGCAGAAUAGUGAUUCAUGAAUUACAAACAUAAUGACCAGAAGCAAUUUUUCAAAAAAAGUAAAAUGAACAUAUCUGAUACUGAGGAGUUGAGUUUGUUCUUAAGAAGAAAAAAAAAAAUCUCAGAAUGUCCUUUAUUCAAAGUCCGAGUACUCUCCUUCCUCCCCACAACUUCUAUUUUUGGAAUGGCAUUCCAAAAGUGUAAGAAAUAUAAAAUACUAUGGUUGGUUGUUCAAUAAACAAGAAGGAGUCAGUGAAUUUACUUCAUCUGCCCAAUUAAAUAAUAAACAUGGGACUCAAUAUGCCUUCCAUCCCAGAAAAGAAAAAAAUCCAUAGAUGAAAAUCAGACAUAGUAACAAUUGCACCUGAUGCCAGAUUCUAACUGCAAAGGGCAAGAGGGAUUCAUGUUAUGUGCUCUUAACUUUAUAAAUAAAAAGCAUAGGAGUUCCUGCCGUGGCGCAGUGGUUAAUGAAUCUGACUAGGAAUCAUGAGGUUGCAGGUUCGAUCCCUAGCCUUGCUUAGUGGGUUGGGGAUCUGGCAUUGCCGUGAGCUGUGGUGUAGGUUGCAGACGUGGCUCGGAUCUGGUGUUGCUCUGGCUCUGGUGUAGGCCUGUGGCUACAGCUCCGACUGGACCCCUAGCCUGGGAACCUCCAUAUGCCACGGGAACGGCCCUGGAAAAGGCAAAAAG
rnacentral:lncRNA from 1 species